UAAGUAGUAGCAUGGGUCCACGGUUGCCAUCAUCCCAUCAUCCAUCACUCUCCUCUCCUCUCACUCCAACAACUCCGCAGGAUCUUACUCGGGCAGUCUCCUUCCCUCGGCAGCCCCGGUCGCGCGACCCUCUCCUCUCCCUCGUCGCCGGUUCGCCGGCCGGCCUCGAGCUCCCGCCAUGUCGGCGGCGUUCAAGGCGUUCCUGAACAGCCCCGUGGGCCCCAAGACCACCCACUUCUGGGCCCCGUCUCCAACUGGGGCAUCAUCCUCGCGAGUGUGGCGGACACCAAGAAGCCUCCCGAGGUGAUAUCUGGCGAUAUGACGGGAGUGUUGUGCGUGUAUUCUGCUCUCUUCGUCAGGUUCGCAUGGAUGGUGCGGCCCCGGAACUACUUCCUCAUGGUAACCCACACAGCUGCAACGAAUGCGUCCAGCUCUACCAGCUUUCUCGCUGGGCCAGAGCUCAGGGGUUCCUGGGGAAGAAGAAAGAGCCGGAGGCCCAGGAGUAAACAAGAUGGCCAUGAACCAUACAAUUUGUGUACCACCACAGACUGAACAAUGUAACAAUGUGACGUGGAAAACCCUGUGUUGCCAUACAUGUUUGUAGGUUUAUUUACAAGCUUUCAUCCAUGUUGUUCCUCCACGCAUUUACCCUAAUGGCAUUUUCACAAAAUUUCUGAAUUCUCAUAGCUCGAUCACGAUCCAAAGUUAAGGUGCGCUAUGUAUGUAUGUAUUAAUAAUCUAAAGCUUACACCUUCCUGUUUCCAGAAAGCAUCUUUCCUCUAUACGUGCUUGCUUAGAAGAAAAGUUCAAGAGUCCUCUGAAAUUCAAUUCAAGCUUUUUUAUAAAGUUAAAAUAUGAAGAAUCUUCGACCGUAGGACGCCCUGGGAAGAUAGCGUCGGGGCCCCACACAUCCAGAAUACCUAAUGCUCCCCAUUCUCCAACCACUCGUCGCCUCCACCAAAAUCCGUGCUUUCCCCCGCUCUCCAGUCUCCACCCAAUUCCUCGCCCUCGCUCGUCGACUCGUCGGCCUCGCCCGCAGCCGCCGUCGGCGAAAGCUGCGCCAGGUGAUUUCAGCUGCCGCGGGGAUCGGGUUCCGCCAUGGCGACGGCGAUCAAGUCGUUCCUGAACAGCCCCGUCGGCCCCAAGACCAGCCACUUCUGGGGCCCCGUCGCCAACUGGGGCUUCGUCAUCGCGGUACGCGCCUGCGGAUAUAGCUGCAGCAAGCUUUGUUUUGCCUCCUAUAUAAAAAUCUGUGUGAUUUGGUCGAUUGCGACAACGCGCCUAUACGUGUGAUAUUGAUGGGAGUGGUGCCGUAGUUUUAAGUAGUCGAACAUGGUGCUCUUGAUAGAAUUCGGGUUGGAAAAUCUUUUUGUGUGAGGAACAUCUGGUCGGUAGUUUCAUUCAGGAAGUCUGGAUUCUAAAGCAGAAGGUUCUUGCUCUGGGCUUAGUUAGCUAGAGUACUAGACACAGGCAAAUUGUUAGUUCAGAAGCAAGGACAAAUGCCUGCUGUAUCUGUUUGACAUGUAAAAAUGGUACUUGUUUCCUCAUUUCUCACCUGUGUGAUUCAUGUCUGGUGGACAGUGCAGUGCUACUGCAAACUUAUUCAAAAAAAAAAAAAAUCAUGUUUGGUGAGAAAAACAGGUACAGCGAGUUAGUAUUGCAGACUUAGAGUUAACGCUUGCAGGGAGUUUCCAGGUGCCCCACAGGGAUUUUGUUUUGGGGGAAAUUAUUGCAAAUUUCAGUAUUCAUGUAUAUUGAUGAACCUUUUCCAAAGCAAAUAAUUCUCAGAUCAAUUGGGUCAGACUGCUGAUGAGUUUUGAUAAAACAGAUUGGAAACUGAUUUAAAUAAUUCGACUGGGUUUUAAUAAAACAGAUUAGAAACUGAUUUGAAUCAUUGGAUCAGCAACCUUUUGUAAUACAUCUAUGCUUGAGUGUUAUCACAUCUUCACUGAGAAAUCUUUCGAUUUGCUUAAAAAAAUUUAUGGAGCUAAAUCAGCAAGGAAAUUAAUUUGCAUCCAGUAUUCCAGUUGUAUAAUGGAAUCUGUUCCGUCUGUCAAUAUUCUAAAGAAAGAUCUUGCUUUUGUGCAUUGAUACUUUUUUAUUGCCUGAUCUCUAUCUCAACUUUUGUAUGGUUGCUGUAAAUUAGAUGUCUCUUGGGAGGAGUGGGGGUGUGUAGCUGGCAACUGGCAAGCCUGGCAUAAAAUUGCAAAGCCAUCUAUCAUUCUGAGAUAUUUAGUAAUGAUCCAUGGGCGGAGCCAUGUUGAUGCAUGGGUAUUCCGAGGAAUACCCAACUUUUUCCGAACAAUCAAGAAUAUAUCAAAAUAUGUACAUAUGUAUAGGUUAUGUGCUCUAAAUUUUCUGCUUUCUGAGUUAGAAAUCAGCCCAACACGACAGCCACGCACACAGGUCCACUCCUCUCUCAUCUGAUGCCAAUUCAACCAGUCAACCACCAAUCCUCUCUCUGGCCCUCUUCUUGAUCUGAUCAGUCUUGCUCAUCUCCGGUCCUGGUUUUCUAUAAAAUGAGCUCAGGCAGGUUGGUGGUAAGGGGAGAGGUAGGUCACAAAUUCGGAGAACCAGCCAAGUAGACAAGGGUGAUGCGCCAUGCAUGGGUAGUGGCAGAAGCUUAGUGCAGCAUGACAGUAUUGAAACCUCGGCAACAUGCCACAACCAUCUCCGACCUACACAAGGGGAUGCAUGAGCCUUCAAGUAGGUGAUACUGUGACAUCACUUAGAGAUGUGGAUCGAUACAAAUUUAUAUCUUCAUAUUAUAAUUGCUCUGCAAUUAGUUAUAACAAUUUAUUUGACCAAGCCAGGGGUCUAUUUUGGACAGUAGAGAGCAGCAAUUUCGAUAUUCUUUGUAGUUUGAAUACUGCAAUAUUAGCUUAUAUGCUUUGACUUGUGACUCUAAUUUGGUGGUGGACAAUUCCCAUUUAUACAUAUUAGCAUUAUACUUGACUGGACAGGUUCUUCUGCUCCUAAAUGCAUGAUUAGAGAAUGUUCCUGAUUAUGGAGUAAAAUUGAAAAGCCUGAUACUGUGAGUUAUCGAUAUUAUGAACUUUUUUGUAUUUUGGAUUGGGAAUACCCAACUCUAAAAUCCUGUCUCCAAUCUAUCAUGAAGUUGUUUUUUCAUUGAUGCUAUGUAACUAAAGUUGGACCUUUUUUUUUCUUUGGACUGACUGAUGAUCUAACAUCAGGUUCUUUCAAUUCAAACAUUGUGUAAUGUACCUUGACCUGCAAAAAUCCUUACAUUUCUGGUUAAAUUUCUGUCAGAAAUGUGUAAACAAUUAUAUGCACAUAGUAUAUGGCUAAGGUUUUGCAUUUAGCUGCCAUUACCUCUCAAGUUGCACCUUCAUUAUGUUUUUCGGUCCCAGAUAAACUGUACCUUGUAAUUCAAACUCUUGAAUUGCUUUCUUGACAUCCAGGGUUUGGUUGACAUGAACAAGCCUCCUGAAAUGAUAUCGGGCAAUAUGACAGCAGUAAUGUGUGUGUAUUCUGGACUCUUUAUGAGGUUUGCAUGGAUGGUACAACCGCGAAAUUACUUGCUUCUGGCAUGCCAUGCUUCUAAUGAAAGCGUUCAGUUGUAUCAGUUAUCUCGUUGGGCUAGGGCGCAGGGGUUCCUGGAGAAGAAAGAACCGGAGGCCCAGCAGUAAAGAUGGAAUGCAAUGCUGCAGUCACUUGUCCAAUAAGGGAUUUUUUUUUUGAAAAGCAUCAAUAAGGAAAUUUUGUUUCUGAAGCAGUGUAGAUAUUGUUCAUUCUGUGACCAUAAAGUUUCUGCAUGCUACACAACAUACCGUGGAAAUCUCAAUGAUACCUGUGUUACUUCAUUAUUACAAGUUUUCAUUUGUGUUA